UUUAAGGGUUUAUACGAUAAAAUAUUGGUUUAGGAUUUAGCAUUUGGGUUAGGGUUUAGUUAUCUGAUUUAGCGUUUACAGUUUAAAUUUUAGAGUUUAGAGUUUACAUUGCGGUGAUAUCGUCGCUACAAUUGAUAUUAUUGUUUUUUCUUGUAAUUUAGAUUUUUGUAGACAAAAAUUAAUAUUUUUAAAGUCUAAUCUAGUUGGCAAUUUGAUUGUUGAUAAAAGUUGUGGUCAAUUUAAAGGUUCUCUAUAUUGGUUAAUAUAAGUUUUGUUAGUUUAUGGAUGAUGACUCGUAUAGCUGGCUGUAAAAGCUAAUCCCAUCUAAUAGUUAAUUAAAUUCGGUUAGAACCACUUUUCAUAUCUCGUACUCCAUCUCCUAAUUAUUGGAAUUAGUUUUCGAUUGAGUGUGUGGGUGUACAGAAUAGGUUGUAUUGUAUGGUUUUUUUUAUAUAAUCAGUGUUGUUCGGGAUAGUGUCACAAUCUUCUAUGGGUUAACGUUGACAUGCAUGUAUUGAUUAAAUCUUAUGUUUGAGUUUCUGUUUUUGUUGUACAAUAAGAUUAUAGUAGAACUUAUUAUAUAUGUAUAACUGGUUUUCAAAUUUACAAUCAUACAAAAUUUUAAUACUUCACCUAUAAACGUACUUGUUCGUUUGUUUUGCGUUUACCUUUACAUUUAUGCUAUUAUUAUUAUAUAUGAUUCUACCAAAAGAGUUAACGUUAAUGUUCUACUAUUGGGUUGGGUUUAGGUUUCUAUUUAACUUAUUCGAUUUAGUUUUGUAUAUGUUCGUGAUUGUGCAUUGUCUUUAUAUUUCAACAUACGGUUUCAGUUAUAGGAAAACCACGGAGUUUGGAUUUAUGAAAUAUCAAGUGGUUUGGAUUUACGUAUCAAAUUACAAAUGGUUUUGAGGUUCGUUUAU
rnacentral:lncRNA from 1 species